rnacentral:lncRNA from 1 species
ACUAUAUCAAAUAUAGAACUAGAGCAAACUAAGAACAUAAUAAUUAGAGACAUAAUGCAAUUAGAACAAAGAAUUAGAGAAAGAUAUGAAUAAUACCAAUCUUUAUUACCGAAGAUCCGAAUCCAGAGCGUAGUGCUCUACUUCUCUAAUUGCUAUCAAAUCAAACCUCUAAACUUGAAGGAUUAGGGAGUAGCUAAUUCUAAUUCUCUGUGGGAGAGAAGCUCUAAACCCAAACUUUGAUGGCUACCUCUGAAUAAUGAUUUCUCCUCUCUCCUCCAGGGGCCAGGGGGUCUGGUUUUAUAGUCCCCUCAAGUGAACGUGAGCCAUUGGAUCAAACCGACAUAGAUUGUACGGUUUAGAUUGAUCCUUUAGGUUGGUGGAGCGUAGUCCCGAAGCAGAGUCCUGAUUGGUAAUUCAUAUUUAUUUGAUUAUUAAUUUUAGUACUUAAGGACCGUCAACACCCACCUAGAGCGUUGCCGCUUAGCUCACUCUGAAGAUCAUCAACACCAACUAUUGCAAACAUCUAGCUUGGGAGAGGAGCAUUCCCUAGUUAUCAGGUAACUAUACCUAGGCGAUUAUCGAGUCUAUUUGAUAUAGUCAUAAAAUACCAAAAAUAUGUGAGCACAUGAAUGUUCACAAUAGUAUCAUAAGAAAAUAUAAAAAUACCAAAACUGUUUGGGCACAUGAAGGUCCAUAUCUUUAGAGUCUUCUAAGUCCAAUAGAAAUGAAUAAAAAACCAAACAAAAUUUGUCUCCAUAUAUUAAGGUGUGAUCAUAGAGUGUGUCCACAGUCAAUCUAGUUUAGAGUUUUAGGCAUGACCACUUUAAUAUAAGAAUUUACUCUGAAUCUAAAAUUUUGGAGGCAUAUGUUUAAGCUGAGUCUAUACAUGAAGGUCUAAGCUGCUAUUUGUCUUAUGCCUAGCAUUACUAAGUUCUAGAGAUUUAUUUUCAAAAAACCCAAAAUCUUACAUGAUGAGAUCUUGUAUGAUAAAGUUUAAAUUCCUACCAAAGCCAUAUAUGCUACAUUUAGAGAUAGGAAAACCUUUGCGCAUUCAUGCUGCUUGCUUUACAUUGAGUUUAGUCAACCUUUGGAGUAUACCUUAUGAGAGUCUUGUCAUGCUUUUCAAAUUAAAAUCACUCACGCACUCCACCCACAUAUGCAUUGCUCCUAUUCUGAGAGUAAGCGCAAUUAUUUUCCAUUUUCAUCCAGAUCCACCUUAAAAAUAUUUUUUCUCCUACACUAGGAGUAAACACCCAAAAAUAUACCCUAUAGGACAGCCCCCAUUUAAUUGCUCUAAGUUCUUUUCAUUAUCUCUUUGAUUAUUUAUAUUCAAACGAUGCAUGUGGCUAUGCAAAAGUAUUUAAAAAAUGAAAAAUAAAAAAAAGGAGGACUAAAAGAUGGACAAGUGUCUCAACAAUUAAAACAAUGGGUACAUAGAUGCCCGCCUCCCACAGUAAAAAAAAAGAGAAUAAAGAUAUCCCAUGUUUUCCUACAAAAGGUUCUAAGGAGGGAGUAAUUUUCAAAGAGCAAAAGUAAGAUUAGGAUUAGCCACUAAAUACUAUAUAUACACGUAUCCACCAUACUCCAUAUACACGCACAUCUUGAUUUAAUUGUAUGCCUCGAUUCUUUGUGGAUCCGUUGUUUGACUUUACAAUAUAUGAAUUGCAAGUAUGCUCAUCCUUGUUAUUGCCACUCCUAUAAGCUCCACUAUAUAUAUCCUUAGUUGUUGGAAGGCAUAACCUCAUUAAUGCCUCAAGGAGAUCCAUAAAUACUAUAUAAUAAGAAACUUGAGGGUGUCAUACAAUUAAGCUCUGAGUUUAUUUUCGAAAACUUGCAAAACUCCAGA